AAUGUUGACGAGGGGCCUGUUAAAAAUUUUAUUUUGAAGAACAUUGGGAAGAAAUGGAAGGACAAUAGAUGUAAAUUAUACCAUGAGUGGUAUGAUCCCAAUAUUGGUCGAGAAGCAAAUAUUACAAAGCAUCCACCGGGAAUAUCUCAAGACUAAUGGGCAAGUUUUAUUAACUAUCGUGCACGAGAUAAGACUAAGGAGAUAUGUCAAAAAAAUGCUGAAAAUCGAUUCAAAUUGACAAUUCCACACACAGGAGGGUCGAAGAGUCUAGCAAGGAAAAAAUAUGAGAUGGAAAUUGAGAGUGGCCAGCCUGUGAGUAGGGGUUUAUUAUACAUUGCGACGCAUAAGAAGAAAGAUGGAUCUUUUGUGAAUGAAGGAGCACGAACUAUAAGCGAGAAAAUUUCUGAGAUUGAGAGCCAAGGCACGUCUUCACAGUCAGUCUCCUUAAAUGAUUCACUUGCUCGUGUGCUAGGAAAAGAACAUUCAGGCCGAGUUCGAGGUUUGGGCUUCGGUCCUAGUCCAAACCAAGUUUUGGG